UACGGAGGGUGCGAGCGUUGUCCGGAAUCAUUGGGCGUAAAGGGCGCGUAGGUGGCCCGGUCAGUCUUUGGUGAAAGCGCGGGGCUCAACCCUGCGUCGGCCAGGGAUACUGCCGCGGCUCGAGCACUGUAGAGGCAGGCGGAAUUCCGGGUGUAGCGGUGGAAUGCGUAGAGAUCCGGAAGAACACCGGUGGCGAAGGCGGGUCUCUGGGCAAUUCCUGACGCUGAGGCGCGAAAGCGUGGGGAGCAAACGGG
rnacentral:rRNA from 1 species